CGGGGCGUGGCGCAGCCUGGUAGCGUAUCUGAAUGGGGUUCAGAGGGUCGGAGGU
rnacentral:tRNA from 1 species